rnacentral:tRNA from 1 species
UAGGAAGUGAGAAAAUUACGUGCGGUUUCGGCCCGUUAUUUUGGUAGUGAGAGUCUGCCCCUAUUA